CAGAGGGUGCGAGCGUUGUUCGGAAUUACUGGGCGUAAAGCGCGCGCAGGCGGCCUUUUAAGUCUGACGGUGAAAUGCCGGGGCUCAACCCCGUGCCCGCCGCGGAUACUGGGAGGCUGGAGACGAGUAGAGGCAAGCGGAAUUCCGGGUGUAGCGGUGGAAUGCGUAGAGAUCCGGAAGAACACCGGAGGCGAAGGCGGCUUGCUGGGCUCGGUCUGACGCUGAGGCGCGAAAGCGUGGGGAGCGAACAGGAUUAGAUACCCUGGUAGUCCACGCCGUAAACGAUGGGCACUAGACGCUGGUGGGAUCGACCCCUUCAGUGUCGCAGCUAACGCGAUAAGUGCCCCGCCUGGGGAGUACGGCCGCAAGGCUG
rnacentral:rRNA from 1 species